rnacentral:rRNA from 1 species
GACGAACGCUGGCGGCGUGCUUAACACAUGCAAGUCGAACGGAAAGGCCUGCUUUCCCUUGUGGAUUGCGGGUACUCGAGUGGCGAACGGGUGAGUAACACGUGAGUGAUCUGCCCCCAACUUGGGUAUAAGCCUGGGAAACUGGGUCUAAUUCCCGAUAGGACUGCAGGGUGGUGCCUGUGGUGGAAAACGAUUUUCUAGUGGUUGGGGAUGAGCUCGCGGCCUAUCCGCUUGUUGGUGGGGUAAUGGCCUACCAAGGCGGCGACGGGUAGCCGGCCUGAGAGGGUGGACGGCCACAUUGGGACUGAGAUACGGCCCCGACUCCUACGGGAGGCAGCAGUGGGGAAUAUUGCACAAUGGGCGGAAGCCUGAUGCAGCGACGCCGCGUGGGGGAUGACGGCCUUCGGGUUGUAAACUCCUUUCGACCGCGAGGAAGCCACCUGGUUGGAAGGGUGGUGACGGUAGUGGUAGAAGAAGCACCGGCUAACCACGUG